rnacentral:rRNA from 1 species
AAUCCGCCCAGUGAUUUAUUAAAUGGCUGCAGUAUUUUAACUGUACAAAGGUAGCAUAAUAAUUAGUUUCUUAAUUAGGAACUGGUAUGAAAGAUUGAACGAGACAAUAACUGUCUUAAUAUAAAUUUAAGAAUUUUAUUUUUAAGUUAAAAAGCUUAAAUUUUUUUAAAAGACGAGAAGACCCUAUAGAAUUUUAUAUUAUUUUUAUAUUUAAAUAAUAGUAUUAAAAUUUUAAAUUUUAUUAAGAGUAUUUAAUUGGGGUGAUUGAAAAAUUAAUUUAACUUUUUUUUUAUUUUUUACAUUUAUUUAUGUAUUAUUGAUCCAAUAUUUUUGAUUAUAAGAUUAUGUUGGAUUAAAGUUAAUUUUUGAUGCAGAAGUUAAAAUAUUAGGUCUGUUCGACCUUUAAAACUUUACAUGAUCUGAGUUUAAAUCGGCGUGAGCCAGGUUGGAUUCUAUCUUUAAAUAGUUAUUAUAUUUUAGUACGAAAGGACCAAAUAUUAUUUAUAUUAAAUUUUAGAGAAUAU